AGAUUGCCUUAUUGAAGAAAUUGGAGACAUCCUCAGGAUUCUUCCAGUUAUCAAAAAUUCCAGCCUCACAGAGUAAAUCGAAGUCCAUGGUACUGUUGAUGAGGCAUCCCAUAAGUGUCACAUAAGAAGUGAUUCCAUGGGGGCAGUUGGUCAAACACUGCUCCAAGCAGACUAAAUUCCGAAAUAUAUCUUCGGUCCCUUGUCGAAAUUCAAGACAUGGGAUUUCCAAAUAGCCAUUUUGAAAUGUUACCUGCAAAAUGCUCUUAGCCUCUAAUUUUCUUUUGAUUUUGACUCCAGCUUUCCGAAGAACUGUUGCAGGAGGAAUGGGUUUCCACCCCCCAUUUGCUAAUACAUCAUCUCUUCGCACAACUGUAUUUUGCCUUCUUUCUUCUUCAAUCGGGGAAACCAGCCAUAUCCUCAAGAGGUCAAGAAUAUGCUUGGGUUGUUGGCUGGGUAGAUUUCCCUUAGCUGGUACAAAUGCAAUUGGGAAAAUUCGUUUAAGAAGUG
rnacentral:misc_RNA from 1 species